AAGUCGUAACAAGGUUUCCGUAGGUGAACCUGCGGAAGGAUCAUUACAAAUCUUUUAUGAAAAAAGGAUAAGAAAAAGGAGAAAAGAGGGUAUAAAGAGGGGAGAGAAGAAAAAUAGGAGAGGGUGGUAAAUAGUAAUUUUAUCCCGAACUUAUUUUUAUUUAAUCUCUUUUUUACUUAAUUUCUCUUUAAUUAUCCACAUAUGUGCUUCAGGAAUUCAUUUCCUGAUAGACAUUUACGCUUGUUAGGGUUUGACAGAGUUUUAUUUUUUGAUGAUAAUAAAUGACAACUUUUAACAAUGGAUCUCUUGGCUCUU
rnacentral:misc_RNA from 1 species